AUUAACCCUCACUAGUCUAGAAUAGAAAGUACCGUUAGGUGUCGAGUUUGCGUUUGAUUAAAAAUAAAGCGCCAACUGUCCUGCCAACGCGUAGUGGACAGGUCUCUGGAAAAUAAACUUUAAGGUAAUUGUGAAGCAUGUCACUUCGAAAGAGAAAGUCGACAUUAUUUAAUUGAAAAAACCCUGUCACAGUUUAAUGUAGCUAAUACUUGGCUAACUAACGUUAUUUUCCCAGUGUUGCUAAUGCUAUCACAUAGCUAGCUAGCUUACUGACUAGCCAGCUAGUUGGCUAGCUCGCUAGCAGUCAUGGAGUGAAUUGAGUUCUUUCCAACAAAAUGACUAACACAGCAACAUUAUAUGGAUAUUUCACGGUCAUCAAAAAGAAAGGACAAUGGAUUUCUAACAUCAAAUAAGGUAUGGCACAUUGUGGAAAAAGUCCUCCUGUCCAAGAUAAACGAAAAUAAGACGUGUCCCUGCAGAUGUUUGCACCCUCAGCAUCACAUGCAGUCAGGAGAACAUCAGUGUUAGACGUCAUGUUUUGGUGUCAGCCCCUCUGAGUCAAAGAGCAAGGACUUCUUCAUACACUCACCGCUGUCACGCACGGAGGAGUCUGAUGCAGAGGACGGAGACAUUCCAAUUUCUGCACUGACCGUGCCUUCAAUAGACCAUACUGCAAUGGAGCCACAAGAUACAUUCUUUGGGAG